rnacentral:rRNA from 1 species
AUUGAACGCUGGCGGCAGGCUUAACACAUGCAAGUCGAGCGGGGGAAGGUAGCUUGCUACCGGACCUAGCGGCGGACGGGUGAGUAAUGCCUAGGAAUCUGCCUAUUAGUGGGGGACAACGUUUCGAAAGGAACGCUAAUACCGCAUACGUCCUACGGGAGAAAGCAGGGGACCUUCGGGCCUUGCGCUAAUAGAUGAGCCUAUGUCGGAUUAGCUUGUUGGUGAGGUAAUUGCACACCAAGGUGAAGAUCCGUAACUGGUAUGAGAGGAUGAUCAGUCACACUGGAACUGAGACACGGUCCAGACUCCUACGGGAGGCAGCAGUGGGGAAUAUUGGACAAUGGGCGAAAGCCUGAUCCAGCCAUGCCGCGUGUGUGAAGAAGGUCUUCGGAUUGUAAAGCACUUUAAGUUGGGAGGAAGGGUUGUAGAUUAAUACUCUGCAAUUUUGACGUUACCGACAGAAUAAGCACCGGCUAACUCUGUGCCAGCCGCCGCCGUAA